rnacentral:rRNA from 1 species
UGGGGAAUAUUGGACAAUGGGGGCAACCCUGAUCCAGCGACGCCGCGUGGGUGAAGAAGGCCUGCGGGUUGUAAAGCCCUUUCGGUGGGGAUAAAAAGCCUUGGUUUAACACACCAGGGUCUUGAUCUAACCCAAGAAAGAAGCACCGGCUAACCCUGUGCCAGCAGCCGCGGUAACACGUAGGGGGCGAGCGUUGUCCGGAAUCAUUGGGCGUAAAGAGCUCGUAGGCGGCUCGGUAAGUCGGGUGUGAAACCCCCAGGCUCAACCUGGGGACGCCACCCGAUACUGCUGUGGCUAGAGUCCAGUAGGGGAGCGUGGAAUUCCCGGUGUAGCGGUGAAAUGCGCAGAUAUCGGGAGGAACACCAGCGGCGAAGGCGGCGCUCUGGGCUGGUACUGACGCUGAGGAGCGAAAGCGUGGGUAGCAAA